UCAGCCCGAUUCUGGCUGAGUGUCGGCACAAUCGGCUGGAGUCCGGGUCGGCUGACAUACUGUCUCACGUGGUCGCACCAAGACUGGCGUCUUGUAGUUGUAUUAGGUACAUUGCAUUGUAUCUGGCCCUAUUACGGCUGAAGUGUGACUGAGCUGUUUGGUGCAAUGACUUGGAAAUUAAUGAUGAUGAUGAUGAUGAUGAUAUCAACAACAAAAACUGGCCUAUAAUACUUGUAAUGUCCAUUUUUACCCAGUUGAUUUUUCAUGAUGAUGAUAAAAUCAUGAUAAAAUAAUAAUAAUUAUUAUUAAAUAUUAUAAUAACAGAAUAAUAUUUACAGAAACAACAAAAACAAUUAAAAAAGGGUACAUAAACAUGCACAUUGCAUUGUCUUUGUGGAUGGACAUACGCUGCCCGACUGGAACUGACAGACCAGCCGUCACGCUGUUUGGCGCCAUUUAUAAAUAUUAUGCGGCAGACGGAUAUCUAUCAAGCACACGGCCCGAUUCUGUGGAGCGACAGUCGGCUCACUUGCUUUGAAACGGCCACAAGACGACUUUCGUCAUCAAUUCUAAUCCCACAGAGCGGGAAAAGGGACCUCACUUCGACGCCUGAACUGGUUGGAGAAAGAAAAAGGUAAAAACAUGGAUAGACGUAGUCUUAGAAAACGAGCAGUGAAAAGGGUGAGUUCUUUAUUUUCUUCCUUUCCUGAUGAGAUGCAGAUCACUGGAGCUGCAGAGAAUGCCACUGUGAAUAUCACAGAGGAGGACCAGAAUCAGGGUGAUCAGGGUCAGGCAUCACAUAAAUUUGACAGUGAAGAUGAUUUGCAGAGUGAUGAUGACAUAGUAAAUGUCAGUACAUCACUAACUGACUCUUUGUGCGACUGGGCAGUUCAUUUCAGAGUGUCUUUAGUAGCUUUGGCUGCACUUCUGGCCAUCUUGAGAGUUCAUCAUCCUUUCCUACCAAAGGAUGCCAGAACUCUUCUACAUACCACUACCUCCUACAGCAUCCAAGUUGUUGCUGGUGGUACCUACCACUAUGUCGGCAUUUUGAAAGCUUUUGCAAAAAGCAUGGAUCGCAUCUGGUCUCACAUUCCAAACAGGCAUGAAUUUAAAUUGCAGCUGAACGUAGAUGGACUACCUCUGUUUAAGAGUUCCUCAGUACAGUUCUGGCCAAUCCUUGGCUUGCUACAGGGUGUUGUGAAAAAGCCAGUUGUCAUUGCUCUGUUUUGUGGUGUCUCAAAGCCAAGUUGUCUGGUUGCAUAUUUACAAGAUCUUGUCAGUGAGUUGCAAGAACUAAGCAAAGGAUUCUUCAUCAAAGGGAAACAGUGCUUCUUGAAGGUCAAUUCUGUCAUCUGUGAUGCGCCAGCAAGAGCUUUCAUUAAAGGAACGAAAAGUCAUACUGGUUACUCAGGAUGUGACAAGUGUGUUCAAACAGGUGUUUAUCUUAAACACAGAAUGACUUUUCCAGAAGUCAACAGUGCACUCCGGACAGAUCUGUCUUUCAAAAUGCUGAAUGAUGAAGAUCAUCACGUGACAAAGUCACCAUUAACUGAUGUAGGUAUAGGCAUGGUGUCAUGCUUUCCUCAUGAUUACAUGCACCUUGUCUGUCUUGGGGUAGUGCGGAGACUGUUGGAUUUAUGGAUUGCAUCAGGGCCUUUGCCAUCCCGCUUGUCUUCUCAUCAGAUGAAGCUUAUCUCUAGUGCACUCGUAGGCUUAAGAGGUUUCAUUCCUACGGAUUUCGCUCGUAAACCAAGAGGGCUUUUAGAAAGACUCCGGUGGAAAGCCACAGAGUUGCGACAGUUCUUGUUGUACACGGGGCCAGUGGUUCUCCAAAAUGUGCUGUCGGGUUCAGUCUACAACAAUUUCAUGUUGUUAUCAGUUGCCAUUUUCAUCCUUGCAAGUCCUUCAUUGUCUGCAGAUCUUCAUGACUUUGCACACACAUUACUUGUGUCAUUUGUGACACAUUUUGGCAAACUGUAUGGUCCAGAAUUUGUCACUUACAAUCUUCAUGGAUUAACCCAUCUUUCUGAGGAUGUUCGAAUACAUGGAAAUCUUGACCUAAUAUCCGGAUUUCCAUUUGAGGAUUAUCUAGGUAAGAUGAAAAAGAUGAUAAGAACCCCGCAUCAUCCACUAGCCCAGGUUAUUCGGCGAAUCUCUGAAAUGGAUCCUUUUACAGGAAAUGAUGAAGCUUCACAUGGAAAGAAAAGGUUGCAGAAGGAGCAUGAUUCUGGCCCACUUCCACCCUCUAUGAUGAACAUAUCUGUACUUCAGUUCCAGGAGCUUGUCAUAGGUGGUACCAAAAUAGAUGCAUCAAGCGAGGGAGACAGAUGUGUUAAGAUUGGUGGCUGCAUUGCUUUGAUUGACAAUAUCCUUCAGUGUCAGGACAAAAUAUAUAUUGUCUUCAGAGAAUAUGAAUUAAUGGAACCAUUUUUUGAGUAUCCUCUGAGUUCAUGUGAUUUGGGCAUCUACCUGGUUGGAAAAAUCUCAUCGAGGCUGAAAACCAUUCAGUUAUUUGACCAUGUUGAGAAGUAUGUGAGGUUGCCAAAUCAAGACAAAUUUGUUGCAGUGCCAUUGCUGCACUUGUGCCACUGAUUUCAUUUAGCCGUUUCUUAUUGUGCAGCUUUUUUUUUAAGCUGUGCUCUCCCCUUUUCUUAAAAGGGCUUUGCAAAAUUCAUUUGAACUGAACAAAGUUCACUUAAUUUUCAUCAAGCUUUGUUCAUAAUCACAUCUACUUCUAAUGUCUUUCAUGUUUUACUUGUUCAAUAUUUUUUAAGCAGCUUUCUGAAAUUGUACUCACCCUUUCUAAAAUGUAAACGAGUUUGUUUCUUCAUGGGAACGGAUUUGGAGAAAUGUGUCUCUGCAUCAUUGUCUCAGCAAUGGAUGCCCUGCAGUGAAUGGGUGCCGUCAGAAUGAGAGUCCAAACAGCUAAUAAAAACAUCACUUUCCACAAGUAGUCCACACCAAUCCAGUCCAUCAGUUAAUGUCUUGAAGAAAAAGGUUGCACGCUUCUAACAGCUUAAGUCAUAAAGUCCACUGUUUUAGACUGUUUCUGCGUGUAAACAGUGCUUGAUUUGUGCAGAUUUAUCUCCUGACAUUUCAUUAUAGACUCGUAUUUCAUCCAAAAGUAACAGUUUUAAGUUAAAAAUGUCUUGAUGAUAGACUAACGUGCUGCUUUUGGCUUCACAAAAUAUUAAUUGGUGGACUGGACUGGAGUGGUGUGGAUUAUUUUGAUGUUUUUAUCCUUUGUUUCUCUACAAAGUAUCCAUUAAUGAGCAUGUGAUGUGAAGCUACACUUUACCAAAUCUAUUUCCAUGAAGAAACAAACUCAUCUGCAUCUUAGGUGGUGUGGUACAGCAAAUAACAUUACUUACUUACUUAAUCCUCUUUAUUCCCAUAAGGAUAGGGACAUAAGGCCACUAUCAUCUGACCUCAUAUUGUGGCUCGCUCCAGGUGAGAUGCAUUUCUUCCAGCUCUGAUGUCACUGUCCUCCUCUAGGUGAUCUUUGGUCUUCCUUGUCUUCUCUUACCAGGUGCUGUCCAUUUUAAGUGCCACAUUCGGGAUGUGGUGCUGGUCCAUUCUUAAUAAAUGCCCAAGCCAUCUCAACCGUCUGCAUUUGAUCUCAACCACCACACUGUUCUUCUGUAUAGCUCUACAGUACAUAACUUACAGGUCGGCCAGAGUCUAGCAAAGGUGCUAUGAGCCUUCCCAAGAUGUGUAUUAAUAUCUUGCCAACUGCAUUGUCAGUGCCAAAUGAACUUUCCAGGUAGGUGAAUUCCUCACAAGCUGCCAUCAACUGUGAUCCAAUUGGACUGAUGCACAUAACUUGGGUCUUGGUGGUAAUGAUAUUAAGACCGGUCUGGUUGGCAAUGUUGUGCAGCAUAGUCAUUUUCAGUUGCAAAGAAAUUAAUUUUAUUUAGGAAAACAUUCCAGUAUUUUUCUCUUUAUAGUGUACUUCAGUGGUGGACUUAUUUUUAUUCUGGAAGUGGAGUUGUGCUUUAAUGGGACAUUUCACCCGAAAAUUUAAUUCUGCUGUAAAUUUACUAAUUUGUUGCAUAACGACGUACACAUGGGUAUUAAUCUUGGUUUGCCUGUAUAGUUUUUAUUUUGAUUCUAAAAGGGAUGUAAUUCUUUGACUUGCAUUCUGUGAAUAACCAAGGAACACAAAAAUCUUCAGCUAAAAAUCGUCUUUAAUGUUUUGCUCAAGAAAAAAGUAACAGAAAAUUUUCAUUUUUGAUUAACUAUCUGGGUGUCAGGGCAGAAAAAUAAAAAACACAUACACUAUAUUGCCAAAAGUAUUCGCUCACCCUCUUCCAGUGAACAGGUUUGACUACUUUAGUAAUAUCCUUGAGUACAAAUCUUAAUGUUAAAGCAUAUAAUGAUAUUCUAAUUUUAUAGUAACAGUUUGGACAUGACCCUUUUCUAUUAUAACAUGACAAUGCCUCUGUGUAUGAGGCUUAAAAAAAUCUUAAAAAAUAAAUGAUUGAUUGAGUCAUUGUGGAAGAACUUGACUGGUCUGCAGAAAGCCAACUCCUAAUCGCAGCUGAACACUUCUGGUGUGACUUUAAAUGCAGACCUUGAGCUAAAAACUCAUCACCAAACACCAAGAUUGCCUCAUACAUAGAGGCAUUGUCAAAUUAUAAUAGAAAAGGGUCCUGUCCAAACUGUUGCUAUAAAAUUAGCUUUAACAUUAAGAUUUGUAUUAAUGGAAAUGACUAAAGUAGUCAAACCUGUUCACUGGAAGCGGGUGAGCAAAUACUUUUGGCAAUGUAGUGAAUGUGUGCAAAAAAAAAGUUGACACCUGUGUAUAUACUUGUAAAUACUACACUUGUUUCUUUUUUUUUCCAAACAGACAUGUUCAAAAUUGUCGAAUUUGUUGAGUCACAUGAGGUGGAGCUGGUUCCAGCCAUUUGGGUGGAGAAUGGCCAGUGCUAUUGGCCUAAUUCACUGAGGGGUAUGGCCCUUCACCUGGCCAUUAAAAACAAGACACCUCCUAACUGUGACUGGGGAAGUUGGGAAGUCCGAACAAUGUUUUCAACAGACAGCUAUGAAGAGGGCAGAAGGAAGGCUAAAGAGGCAGAGACCUGGUCAGACCUCCAGUCAGACGCAGAAAUGUCUGGACAGAAACCACCAAGGCG